rnacentral:piRNA from 1 species
UAUUUUAAUUAGGCCACACACAUUCC